AGAGUUUGAUCCUGGCUCAGAUUGAACGCUGGCGGCAUGCCUUACACAUGCAAGUCGAACGGCAGCACGGACUUCGGUCUGGUGGCGAGUGGCGAACGGGUGAGUAAUACAUCGGAACGUGUCCUGGAGUGGGGGAUAGCCCGGCGAAAGCCGGAUUAAUACCGCAUACGCUCUACGGAGGAAAGGGGGGGAUCUCGACU
rnacentral:rRNA from 1 species